rnacentral:rRNA from 1 species
AUUGAACGCUGGCGGCAUGCCUUACACAUGCAAGUCGAACGGCAGCGGGCCUUCGGGUGCCGGCGAGUGGCGAACGGGUGAGUAAUGCAUCGGAACGUGCCAUUGAGUGGGGGAUAACGUAGCGAAAGUUGCGCUAAUACCGCAUAUUCUGUGAGCAGGAAAGCAGGGGGACCGCAAGGCCUUGCGCUCUUUGAGCGGCCGAUGUCAGAUUAGCUAGUUGGUGAGGUAAAGGCUUACCAAGGCGACGAUCUGUAGCGGGUCUGAGAGGAUGAUCCGCCACACUGGAACUGAGACACGGUCCAGACUCCUACGGGAGGCAGCAGUGGGGAAUUUUGGACAAAUGGGGGCAACCCUGAUCCAGCCAUGCCGCGUGAGUGAAG